UCCAAUCACCACCAAAUUCGCCGAUUCCACCUCCGGCCGGCCGACGAAUUCUUUCGAUUCCGACCGUCUCAGUCAGUCUCUGGCCUCCCCGACAGCUCCGUGACCUUCCUGGUGCUCGUCACCGGCGGCACUCCGUCCAGUUGCCGGCGCUUCCUCCGCCCGUUCCUGGUUCCCCACGUCCAGGCGCACCACCGGCGACACCUUCCUCGACCUUGUUCGUUCGUGGACGUCGAAUCCACCCCCGACCUGAGCUUCCCCGUCAUGGCGUAGGGAGAAAUACAAUCCAGCAGCCCAAGUUCGAAUCCCAUCUGCUCCUUUUUGGUUUUUCAGCUGUAUGUGCGUCAGCCCACCGGACUGAGAUCCAUUUCAAAGAAUCCGGCGCAUCAAACCUAUCACCCUACAAAGUGUAGCCCAUCUGCAUUUGCUUCUUCCCGAAUAGGAUCGCGAAGUGGUGUGGUGAGAUA